GUCACAACUAAGUAACAUUGAGAAAUUUAAUUAUUUGAGGUGCUAUUUAGAAGGAGACGCUUUAAAUUGUAUAUCUGGAUUAUCUCUUUCUAACGAAAAUUACGAGGAAGCAUUGAAGCUAUUGUCCAACAUAUUUGGAAAUCCACAAGUAAUUAUAAACUCACACAUGCACGGAUUUUUGAAGAUGAAUUCAUUAAGAUGAGUUUAUAACGAUCGCGACCUAACAGCUCUUCGAUGACUCUACGAUGAUAUAGAAUCUCAUGUACGAAGUUUAAACAGCUUGGGUAUUGAAGGAAGGGACUAUGGCUCUUUACUCAAUCCGAUCAUUAUGGAACAACUGCCGCACGAAUUUAAAUUGACUGUUUCCAGGAAUCUGAAACAAGAGGUCUAGGAUAUUAACAAACUCCUCGAACUAAUAAAUGACGAGUUAAAAGCUAGAGAAAAUUGCAUCGUAUCGUCGUACCUACCGUUAACUCACACAGAACAGAAAAGGAUCAUAGUAACGACAUGGGUAAGAAACGUUUUGAUUUUUCGCAUUCAUAUGAGCCCUCUUCUGGCGCGUCUUUGUUAUCUGAAUCCAGCCCAAGCAGAAAUGCGUAUUUUGUGAAGGUUGUCAUUGGCCUGACAAGUGCCCAGUUAUUACGGAUGUGGCGUCUAGAAAGGAGUGUCUAAAAAAAUCAAAUCGUUGUUUUUUGUGUUCCAGAGAAAAUCACAAACAAAAUCAAUGCCAAAAGAAAAAACCGUGUUUUUAUUGUAGAAGUAUACACAAUUCCGCACUUUGUUUUCAAAAAAACAAGAAAAAGGGUGAUUCCCCGGGCACAGAAAAAGAACCGUCGCAGGUUACGCAUCAAAACCAUGUGCAAAACAAUUCAAACAACGUGUUUCUGCAAACUGCGGAUGUCAUGCUCAAAAAUCCAACCACCGACCAAAGCGUACAAGUUCAGGUUUUGUUCGAUGGGGGUUCUCAGAGGACACACAUCUCUGAUCGCGCUCGAAGAACGUUGAAUUUAAACACCGAGAUCACGGAAGAAAUUAUUAUCUCUACUUUCAGUAAUCGCAAUGUUAUUUUCACUUAGCGCACUUUCGGUACCUAUAAUUUGUUUACCAAUUAAAUCGCAACCCGUAAAUUCGUCAAAACAAAAAUUUACAGAUUUGAAAGAGACUGAUUUCGCUUCUUCGGGAGUUGGGAACGAAAUUGACUUACUGAUCGGAUCGCAUAUGUAUUGGGAUAUAGUUACCGGGAAAAUUAACAGGAGUGUGGGAAGUAGUUUGGUCGCCAUAGAAACAAAAUUCGGUUGGGUUUUGAGCGGAGUGCAUGAGUCUGUGAGAGGGUGUGAAAAGAACGUAACAUCGACAAGUAUUGGGAUUUCAAAAAAUGAAAAAACUUGUUAUGAUCUCGUUUUUGAUAAGAUAAAAAAGAAUGAAGAUAAUCGUUAUGAGUUAGCCUUGCCGUUUAAAGAAAAUCAUUCCUUACUGCCAGACAAUUUUGAACUCAGCCGAAAGCGCUUAUUAAAACUACACAAUCGCUUGAAAAACAACCCGUCGCUUCUAGUUGAUUACGAUAAUAUUUUUAAGGAACAAAUGAAAUUGGGUAUUAUUGAACCAGUACGCGAUGUUGGGACACCGGGAGAAAUACAUUACUUGCCACACCGCGCUGUUUUACGUGACGAUAAAAACACGACAAAAAUGAGAAUAGUUUUUGACGAAUUAACCACGAGUCGCCCAGUCUAAACGACAUACUGUACAAGGGUCCUCAGCUAACGCCGCAACUGUAUGAUAUUCUCUUGCGAUUCAGAUCAUAUCCUAUUGUUUUGAUAGCCGACAUAGAAAAAGCAUUUCUACAAAUUGCGAUCAAAGAAACAGAUCGUAACUUUUUGAGGUUUUUGUGGUUUGACGAUAUCCUUGCGGAACAACCCACCAUCGUUAGAAAUCGAUUCGCCCGUUUAGUGUUUGGAUUGACGAGUUCACCAUUUUGUUUGAACGGUACUAUUCGAAAUCACAUAAGUCAGUAUGAAUUUGACCCACUGUUUGUUCAAAAGGUUGUGAGGUCGUUUUUUGUCGACGAUUUUAUUGGCGGUCACGUGAAUGAGGAAGAAGUUGUAAAGUUGUUUAAACAGCUUAAACUCCGAUUUAUAGAAGGGAAUUUUUACCUUCGUAAAUAGCAUACAAAUAAUGAAAAUGUUCGGAACUAUAUAAAUCAUAUCACCAACUCAACCGCGCCUCCCCAAACUAAUGGUAAAAUUCUUGGACUUGUUUGGAAUGAACAGACCGAUAAAUUAUGUUUUGACUUUUCAGAAUUAUUGAAGUCGGCAAAAGCGUUAAAACCUACUAAGAGAAAUAUAUUAAAAGAUUUUGUCUUCGUUCUACGAUCCUGUGGGACUCAUUCAACCAAUAUUGAUUAGCAUGAAAAUUUUGAUGCAGAAAAUAUGUGAGAGGAAGCUAGGUUGGGAUGAUGAUGUUGACGCUGAAUUGAAGGUGAGUUGGGAGAGCAUCUUGAAGGAGAUGGAGAGUGUGGGAGUUGUUGAGGUUGGUCGUAGGAUACUCCUUUUUAUUAAUAAAAUGACGUCAUUCAAAAUUUUCAUGGAAACGAGGCAUCCUAUGCCAAAAAUUUUGAUUGGGAAGGCGGCGAGAAAAACAUUUUGAAUUCAAACGACAUAAAUUUGUUUUAAUGGAGAUAAUAUCAUCCCCAUUUAAUUUCUCUCGUGUCUCCACUAUAAAAUGGCGUAAUCAUUAUAUCUCCAUGAUCUAGCAACUCAGUUAAUGGCAAAACAUUGCGAAAGCAGUAAGCUCCAAUUCUUUUUCGCGAAGGAAGGAAGAAGUAUUGUUGUUUAGCUCUGAUUUUAUUUUUGCUAGCAACUAACUUUAAAUGCAGAUAUGGAUUUAUACAUAGAAGUUCCUGAUUUCUACAACUUUUUUGAAGAUUCUCUUGUUGAUCCUACGUCUAUCAAACUACAAGAAGAUGACAUUGAUGAUGAUACUGUUCACAUCGAUGUUAAAAAUCUAGCUUGUUAUAAAGCUGAACAUUUGAAGAAGUGGUUAAGUGAUUCCCUGGAAAGGAAUAGACACUUUGAAGGAGACACAAGUUAGGGUGCUGCAGUACUACAAAAAUGGCACACAAAAUAACAUUGUAGAUCCAACUAGUGAUAAAAAAUGGCUGAGAAAAAAAGCUGAGAAACUUGGAAUUUUAUCACCGGGGAAGACGAAUAAUUGGAAUAUCAUUAUCCAAUGCCCAGAGGUGUUAAGGAACGAAAUAGGUCAUCCGAAAAACACAGCUGGAUGGAAAAAAUACAUCACGAAUUUGCCAAAAAUAACAAUAUACGAAAUAUCGAACAGUACCAUAAAAAGAUCAAUGACCUGGUAUUAGAAAAGUCUCUCAAAAUUAAAAAACCAUUUACUCGGGGUGCACAAUUCCGGGAAGAAAAUUUUAUUGAUGUUGGUUCAAUACAUGCAAAGGAAAAUGAUAAUAUAUUUAGUUUGAAAGGUGUGUGUGGUGCAAGCUUGAAGAAAGCAGAUAGAUGGAUUUUUGUUGCCAUUGAUAAAUUAUCAAAUGAAAUCUUGUAUUGUUUUUGCCAAUGUCCAGCUGGAAAGGUGGGAACUUGUUCUCACGCUUACGCUUUGAUGAAGUUGUUGGCUAAAUGGGUCCUGGAUAACUUAAAAAUUAUUUCAGAACCGAAAAGCAUGCAGCACAUCAAAGGCCUGUGAGUGGUCAGUUCCUCAGAGUAGAAAUCAUGUUAAUAAAGUCCCAAUAUCGGAUAUAACCAUCACUACCCCAGUUUCAAAACGAAGAAAUACAAAUGACGAUACAGAAUACAAAAAGCGCAGUGGAAUUAAAACGACAUUGUAUGAUGCUAGAGCCGACCAUACAAAACAUGAGCCAGCUUAUAAUUUGGAAGUUUUUUUGAAUAGCGACACUAAUAAUCAUGCUAAGAAAAUCAUAAAUCCUAAUCCGCUUCUGUUUACAGAUACAGUGUAUGGAGUAAUGCCGAUUGGUUCUACUUUAUCGCAUCAAUGUUCCCCAAUACCAGCUGAUUUUGCUGUAUAUUCUAGCAUUUCUACAGUCACAGGAAACCUAACUGAAUAUAACACUUAUCCAAGUUUUCCUUUUAAUUCAAUUAAAUACAUGCUUGAUGAAUACUUAAGAAGUGAAAUAUGUGAGGAAAAA